rnacentral:lncRNA from 1 species
AGCCUCCCUCCUCCCUUUGUCUCCCUUGUACUUUACUGCAUAGUGGGAGAGGGGUAGCUAACUUUGGCUAAGCCUGGUACCUGGCAGAGCCAUGCUCUGUUUAUCAGUUCUCCCACUUCUAUUUGCUCCCUCUAGCAAAGGUUUAACUCUUUCAGUCAGAAUUUGUCAGAAAGUUUACUGAGGUCUUCCUGCCAUUAUUUCCCUAUCUGCCCCCUUUCCCUACAAUUGGAUCCAUGAAUACAUUUGCAACUUAAAGGGCUGUUGGGUAGAAACUUUAGGUGGUGAAGUCUAGUUAGAGGAACUAGGUCUAGUUAGAGGAACUAGUUAGAGGAACUAAGGGGGCAUGUCUUUGAAUAUAUUCAGUAUAUUUGUUCCUUCCCUUCCACUUCCUGGUCUUUAUGAAGUGAGGAGCUUUCUGCACCAUGCACUUCUGCUAUAAUGUUCUUCCUUACUAUAGGCCUACAAGCAAUGGAGCCAGCUGACCAUGUACUGAAACUUCCAAAACGAUCUGAAUCCUCCCUUCAUCCUAACAAUUCCAUGGAGAGCUAAAAUACAGCGCAAACUGGACUAUUGACUUCAGCAUUCUGGUCAGAAGGUUAGGAGACAGAAAUGUACUUAAAAAGAAAUCACAUAUGACAGACUACAAAGCAAUAGAAGAGAUAUGAAAGCUGAAUUUGCCUCUCCAGCCCAAGGUUCAUUUUUUGAAUGUCUUUGUGCACUCAUAGUGGCUGAAACUGGCAGCUACCAGAUACCACCCGCUUGAUCUCCAUCCCGCAUUUUCUCCAGCUCCAUUCUUAAACUCUUCUCCCUUCUGAGAUUUCAGCUUCUUGUGUUUCUCUUUUCCUUGUGGCCUUCUACAAUCUUCCGCUCACACAUAACUCAUUGUUUUAAAAAUCUAGGUGCAUUAUUAUUCGAAUAUGGUGAGGCGAACUGUCACUGAAAAGACAGUUUGCUGUACACUCAGACCCCAGGAGAAGGGGCACAUCUUGCCACAGGCAGGUUGCAGAAUAAUAAAGAGGCACGAGGGAUGGUCAGGAAGCAGAGGGAGCUGGAGGAAACAUGGGUACAAAUCUUGGUUGUGUUUUCCACAGGAAGGAAUAUGCAAAGCAUGGUAGGCUGUUGUAGGAUUGGCUAGCUCCUCUGGGACGUAGGAGCUGUCCCUGGCUGUCUAUUACCUGGUUCUGGGGUGGUCAGGGAAGGUGGAUGUUGGCCCAGACUGUAAAGAGCUUGAUAAAGGAGUUGAUCAUUGUGUGGGUGCUGGGGUAGUUUGCACAUGAAAGGAUUCCUAGAAAUUGACUAACUCUGGGAAGGGCAGUGUCUCCAGAGUUAGCCGGGCCCUAGGACAGUGAUGGCAAAGCUUUCAGAUGGUGAACCUUUUAGAGCCCAAGUGCCCAAACUGCAACCUAAAAACCCACUUACUUAUCACAAAGUCCCCAAACUGCAAUUAAACCUGAAUACUGAGGUUUUCAUUUAGGAAAAACAACUCAGACACUUGGUGCCGACAGAGAGGGCACUGCUUCUCCACUGCAGCAUGCCUGCCAGAGGUUCACCACCACUGCCCUAGGAUAUUAAAGCAUCGGAAUAAAAGAGCAUGGUUCACACACAUGUAUUCUUUAGAGAAUAGGAAGAAUUAUAAGAGCAGAACUUUUAUUCAUGUGUCACCAUUUCCCUAUGUGCUAUGAUCAUUAUCUGUCUCUGCUUUUCCUCUUUACUACCCACAAAGGGGUGUGUGUGUGUGUGUGUGUGUGUGUGUGUGUGUGUGUAUAGUAUUGGGUAUGGAACCCAGGAUCUUUACCCUGAGCUUUAUUUCCAAUUUUUUUGUUUUUGAGACAGGAUCUCGCUAAAUUGCUCAGUUGCCCAAGUUGGGCCUAAACUUGCAAUCCUCCUGCCUCAGCCUCCCGGAGUGCUGGGAUUACUGUCAUAUACCACCAUGCCUGGCUACCAAGUUCUUUCUCUUUUAGAAGGUUUACACUGAAAAGAGUAGAAGAGCAAAUGUUAGAAUCCAUGUGGGCUGGAGAUGAUUGAGUGGGGUGACAUGAAAAGAUGAUUGUUACGAUUUCAUUUGGGUAUUUGGGGGAGACAUUUUUAGAAUGUGUAAAUGCUGUCCUCAAGUAAUCUUAUUUCUCCCUCAAGUCCCCCAAAGUACAUGUAUGCAUAGAGAAAUCACUUGCAAAGCCAACCAAUGCUUUAAUUGUAGCCGUGACUUCAGCCCUGAAACAUAAUGCCUCUACAUGAGCUAGGCCAGAUGCUGUCUUGGAGCGAUCUGUCUAGAAUCAAAGCAGACUGGCCUGAUGUCAUUUGUUUUCUUCCCAGAGACUUGAGUGUAUCACUCUGAAGAGAAGACAGACCAUUCCAAACCUCUAGCAAAGGCCAAGGAAUGAGAUAGAGCCUGGGGCCCAUGCUGGAAUGAAACCAGCCUUGACUUUUGACUCUGGGCUCCCUUAGACCAGCCAGGAUCCCGCUCCAUAGGGGAAGAGAAACACUUAGAACUGUCAAUGAAACAGGGAUCCGUUCAGCUAGGAGAAAGGAAGAACCAAAUCGGGGACAACCCCAUCUUUUAAAGGGAAAUGCAUCCAUUCAAGACAGGUACCACUAUAUUGACCAACAAAAUGUGACCAAUGAUAGCAAAACCUCAUUUUGAGAAUGAACUUCCCCACCCCCAGAGGAAAUAAAGGAAAAAAGAGAAAGCGCUGAGCUUUUUCUGGAAGCAGGUGGGGUCCAGUGGUCCUUCCAGCCCAUGCCAGCAAGCCCACAUGGCCACGAGUGAGGAAAAUUCAUCUAAUUUCCCUUCUUCCAUUCCUUCACUCUGCACUUAGACUGCUUCACUUUGUAAUUAGGUCCCUCCACUGAC